AGAUAGAGGUUGCGUAUAUUAUCAGUAGUUUUUCUGAUGUGACAGGCACAAUUGAGGAAUUGCGAAAGGAACAUACGCCGAAAGGUUUCAGAUCCUGAUGUUUGGAACCUUGGGCAUGCAGUUAAGAGCUGUAUGACUGUCAUCAAAGAACUUGAUGGGGCGCUAUCCG
rnacentral:ncRNA from 1 species